UAGGUAGUCUGAGUAUUUAGUACUCUCACCUUCUUCUCUUCUUUUCCGAAACUCUUCCUCUUAAUUCCUCCUUUUAUCCUCAAGUCUCUGUUACUUGAGUUUAUUUGUUGUCGCAUACAAAGGGUUCGUUAAUUUGCCUGAUAGAGCUUCUGUUGUUAUUGUGAGAUUUAGACAUGGCAUCCAAAGUUGUCCGUGAGAUCAUAACUUCUGCCUCAACUACGCCCAGUAACCUUCAGUUGGCAUAUUGCUUAAGAGCUCAAACUAAUGCACUUCUAAAAAGCAUUGUUAGAUCAGAAAGAAGGCAGCAUAUCGCCACUAGCUUGGGGAGCAGUUAGUGGUGCAGUGGCGGCAAUAUGUUUUGUUCCCCCACUCCUAGAUACGCAUCUUGAAAGGAUCAGCAAUCAAGAGAUCGUGCGAAAGAGCUCUCAGUGACCCGUAUCUUUACAUGGUAAAAAAGAGGUGGUGACAUUGAGAAGGGAGCAUUCAUCUGUAAUUAGCUAGCUGGACUCGCGUUAGUCAAUUUUGGAGUCUUCCUGCUCUCUAACUAUUUUAUCUUUUGUGCUCUUUAGUUAAUUACAGACGGUCAAGCUCUAGACUAAUUACAGUUAUAUCAUACUUUAUACUUACCAUAUCUUCUCUGAUCUUCACUAUGUGGUACAGCAUAACAAUCAUGUUUCUGUCUUUAAAUUCUAAAUUCUGGUAAUUCCUGAGUUUCUACUAUGAUAGUUUUCCGUUUUAGUUCACUAAAUUUUUGAUGUGGGUCAAUGUAUUUUUGAUGUGGGAUCGUUGGACCAAUUUGGGUUGGGUGUGGUCGACUGGUGUGGGGAGUGCCGUUGUGCAAAUUCAGGUGAAUUUUGAAACUCGGAUCCAGCUGGAACUGCCUCUUGGUUCUUUCAAAAUUUAUACAAACUUGGUGACUUGUUUGCUGCUUCAGUUGUUCGAAUUAGUCGUAUUAUUACGGGUGAAACAUCGUCUUUGUGACCACAUCGUAGUAACUAUGGAUUUGUAUCUUGUUACUGUGAUGGACCUUGAUGCCUGGUCAAUGUAUCUGCAAUGGACUUGGCAAUGAAACCGAUUUCCUUC